AGCCGUGUGGUGAGCACAGAGCGAACUAUUCUUUCGCCUUUUACUAAAGAAUACCGUGUGCUCUCCAUUGAUAGCGGCAUACCUCUAUUUUUGGAGGGGUUCUCCUUUCUGCGGACCC
rnacentral:snRNA from 1 species